UACGGGGGGGUGCGAGCGUUGUCCGGAAUCACUGGGCGUAAAGGGCGCGUAGGUGGUUUGAUAAGGGUGUGGUGAAAGUCCGGGGCUCAACCCCGGAUCUGCCGUGCCGACUGUCAAACUCGAGGGCUGUAGAGGCAGACGGAAUUCCGGGUGUAGCGGUGGAAUGCGUAGAGAUCCGGAGGAAGACCGGUGGCGAAGGCGGUCUGCUGGGCAGUUUCUGGACACUGAUGCGCGACAGCGUGGGGGAGCAAACAGGAGUUAGAUACCCGUU
rnacentral:rRNA from 1 species